UGAGGAAUAUUGGUCAAUGGAUGGAAAUCUGAACCAGCCAAGUAGCGUGCAGGAUGACGGCCCUAUGGGUUGUAAACUGCUUUUAUGUGAGAAUAAAGUUAGGUAUGUAUACUUAUUUGCAUGUAUCACAUGAAUAAGGACCGGCUAAUUCCGUGCCAGCAGCCGCGGUAAUACGGAAGGUCCAGGCGUUAUCCGGAUUUAUUGGGUUUAAAGGGUGCGUAGGCCGUUUGAUAAGCGUGCUGUGAAAUAUAGUGGCUCAACCUCUAUCGUGCAGCGCGAACUGUCGAACUUGAGUGCGUAGUAGGUAGGCGGAAUUCGUGGUGUAGCGGUGAAAUGCUUAGAUAUCACGAAGAACUCCGAUUGCGAAGGCAGCUUACCGUAACGUUACUGACGCUUAAGCACGAAGGUGCGGGUAUCGAACAGGAUUAGAUACCCUGGUAGUCCGCACAGUAAACGAUGGAUGCUCGCUGUUGGCCUUUUUGGUCAGUGGCUUAGCGAAAGCGUUAAGCAUCCCACCUGGGGAGUACGCCGGCAACGGUGA
rnacentral:rRNA from 1 species